rnacentral:rRNA from 1 species
GCAAUACGGCAGCGGCAGACGGGAGAGUAACACGUGGGAACGUGCCCUUCAGUUCGGAUCAACCCAGGGAAACUUGGGCUAAUACCGGAUACGCCCUUACGGGGAAAGAUUUAUCGCUGAAGGAGCGGCCCGCGUCUGAUUAGCUAGUUGGUGAGGUAACGGCUCACCAAGGCGACGAUCAGUAGCUGGUCUGAGAGGAUGAUCAGCCUCAUUGGGACUGAGACACGGCCCAAACUCCUACGGGAGGCAGCAGUGGGGAAUAUUGGACAAUGGGCGCAAGCCUGAUCCAGCCAUGCCGCGUGGAUGAUGAAGGCCUUAGGG